UACAGAGGUCCCGAGCGUUGUUCGGAUUCACUGGGCGUAAAGGGUGCGUAGGUGGUGAGGUAAGUCGGAUGUGAAAUCUUGGAGCUUAACUCCGAAACUGCAUUCGAUACUGCCGUGCUUGAGGACUGGAGAGGAGACUGGAAUUUACGGUGUAGCGGUGAAAUGCGUAGAUAUCGUAAGGAAGACCAGUGGCGAAGGCGGGUCUCUGGGCCGAUACUGACGCUGAGGAGCGAAAGCGUGGGGAGCAAACAGG
rnacentral:rRNA from 1 species